GACGAACGCUGGCGGCGUGCCUAAUACAUGCAAGUAGAACGCACAGUUUAUACCGUAGCUUGCUACACCAUAGACUGUGAGUUGCGAACGGGUGAGUAACGCGUAGGUAACCUGCCUGGUAGCGGGGGAUAACUAUUGGAAACGAUAGCUAAUACCGCAUAAUAUUAAUUAUUGCAUGAUAAUUAAUUGAAAGGUGCAAUUGCACCACUACCAGAUGGACCUGCGUUGUAUUAGCUAGUAGGUGAGGUAACGGCUCACCUAGGCGACGAGACAUAGCCGACCUGAGAGGGUGAUCGGCCACACUGGGACUGAGACACGGCCCAGACUCCUACGGGAGGCAGCAGUAGGGAAUCUUCGGCAAUAGACGAAAGUCUGACCGAGCAACGCCGCGUGAGUGAAGAAGGUUGUCGGAUCGUAAAGCUCUGUUGUAAGAGAAGAACGGGUGUGAGAGUGGAAAGUUCACACUGUGACGGUAUCUUACCAGAAAGGGACGGCUAACUACGUG
rnacentral:rRNA from 1 species